AUGAGCUAUGCAAAUUAACUAGUGGAAACUUUCCUGGAUAGAUCCAAGCUGCCUCAGAGAGUACAGUUUGUUAAGAAAAUGGGUCUGCCCAAAAAAUGCUGAUCCAGGAACAGUGGCCAAAAUGUCUAACAAUUAAAAAGACAUCAUCAACAGAGUUCAUGUAGCUCUUCCUGAACAUCUGGGGCCAUGAAAACCAUUUCUGACCAGGUGUACAUUUAGACCAAUAAGAACACCAAUGUGGAGAUGUCUGCUGAAAACUGCUCAUCUAUUGUGCAGUGUGGAGAUGGCUGUAUGUAGGCUUUCCUUCUCAAACCUAGAAUUUCUGAACCAAGAAAAGCCUGUUCUCUCUCAGGUAGCCUCUAUGACUCCCACGUAGCCUGAAGACCCUAUUCUAUCCACCACGUGAGCACCAUUUCAAUAUGGCUCUCAGCUCCCAUGUGACGGAGGCAGACAGACAUUCCCAAGUUCAAAAUUUGUAAGCCUCACUACACGCCUUCCUACAAAGAUGACAAGCACUGAGAUCAUGGCUGAUAUUUACAAGAAUGGUCCAGCAGAUGGAGCCUUCUCUGUGUAUGCUGAUUUCCAGCAAUCAAAGUCUGAAGGGUCCAACAUGACACCAAAGAAAUGAGGAGAACCUACACCAUCUGCAGCCUGGUCUGGGAGAAUGAAGACUGCCACCCCCUACUGGCUGACUGUCAAUUCCUAGAAAACUGACUAGGGUGACAAUGCCUUCUUCGAAUUCUCUCAGAAAAAGGCCACUAUGGAAUCAAAUCAGAAAUCCUGGUUAGAAAUCUCACACACUGAUCAGUACUAGAAAAAGU
rnacentral:lncRNA from 1 species